UACGUAGGGGGCUAGCGUUAUCCGGAAUUACUGGGUGUAAAGGGCGCGUAGGCGGGAUAUUAAGUCAGAUGUGAAAUUUUGAGGCUCAACCUCAAAACUGCAUCUGAAACUAAUAUUCUUGAGUGCAGUAGAGGAAAGCGGAAUUCCCAGUGUAGCAGUGAAAUGCGUAGAGAUUGGGAGGAACACCAGUGGCGAAGGCGGCUUUCUGGGCUGUAACUGACGCUGAGGCGCGAAAGCGUGGGGAGCAAACAGG
rnacentral:rRNA from 1 species